rnacentral:rRNA from 1 species
UACGUAGGGUGCGAGCGUUGUCCGGAAUUAUUGGGCGUAAAGGGCUCGUAGGCGGUUUGUCGCGUCGGGAGUGAAAACUCAGGGCUUAACCCUGAGCCUGCUUCCGAUACGGGCAGACUAGAGGUAUGCAGGGGAGAACGGAAUUCCUGGUGUAGCGGUGAAAUGCGCAGAUAUCAGGAGGAACACCGGUGGCGAAGGCGGUUCUCUGGGCCGAACCUGACGCUGAGGCGCGAAGGCUAGGGGAGCGAACGGG